rnacentral:ncRNA from 1 species
AUGGGAGAUGGCAUGCCUCCCCGAACCGCCGGUCCCCCGGCUGAUGAUGCCUACGA